AGCAGCCGCGGUAAUUCCAGCUCCAAUAGCGUAUAUUAAAGUUGUUGCAGUUAAAAAGCUCGUAGUUGAAUUUCGAGAUCAAAUUGUUGGUCGUGCCUCGGUACGUACUGGCAUUAUUGAUUUCUCCCUUCUGAAGAACCUUGAUGUCAUUAAUUUGGUGUCUUGGGGAAUCAGGACCGUUACUUUGAAAAAUUAGAGUGUUUAAAGCAGGCUCACGCUUGAAUACAUUAGCAUGGAAUAAUGAAAUAGGACGUUUGAUUCUAUUUUGUUGGUUUCUAGGAUCGACGUAAUGAUUAAUAGGGAUAGUUGGGGGCAUUAGUAUUCAAUUGUCAGAGGUGAAAUUCUUGGAUUUAUUGAAGACUAACUACUGCGAAAGCAUUUGCCAAGGAUGUUUUCAUUAAUCAAGAACGAAAGUUAGGGGAUCGAAGACGAUCAGAUACCGUCGUAGUCUUAACCAUAAACUAUGCCGACUAGG
rnacentral:rRNA from 1 species